GAUGAACGCUGGCGGCGUGCUUAACACAUGCAAGUCGAACGAGGAAGCCCGGCUUGCUGGGUGGCUGAGUGGCGAACGGGUGAGUAACACGUGAGUAACCUGCCCUUAACUCUGGGAUAAGCCUGGGCAACUGGGUCUAAUACCGGGUAGGAGCGUCCACCGCAGGGAGGGUGUUGGGAAGAUUUAUCGGUUUUGGAUGGACUCGCGGCCUAUCAGCUUGUUGGUGGGGUAAUGGCUCACCAAGGCGACGACGGGUAGCCGGCCUGAGAGGGUGACCGGCCACACUGGGGCUGCGGCACGGCCCAGACUCCUACGGGAGGCAGCAGUGGGGAAUAUUGCACAAUGGGCGCAAGCCUGAUGCAGCGACGCCGCGUGGGGGAUGACGGCCUUCGGGUUGUAGACCUCUUUCAGUAGGGAAGAAGCGAAAGUGACGGUACCUGCAGAAGAAGCACCGGCUAACUACGUG
rnacentral:rRNA from 1 species